rnacentral:rRNA from 1 species
UACAGAGGUCUCGAGCGUUGUUCGGAUUCAUUGGGCGUAAAGGGUGCGUAGGUGGCACUUGUAAGUCGGGUGUGAAAAUCCUGGAGGCUUAACCUCCGGAACUGCAUUCGAUGCUGCGGUGCUUGAGGACUGGAGAGGAGACUGGAAUUCAUGGUGUAGCAGUGAAAUGCGUAGAGAUCAUGAGGAAGACCAGUGGCGAAGGCGGGUCUCUGGACAGUUCCUGACACUGAGGCAGCGAAGGCCAGGGGAGCAAACGGG